rnacentral:rRNA from 1 species
GUUCUUUGAAAUUGAUUUAGAAUCGUACCUGCCCUAUGAAAAUUUUUUAAAUGGCCGCAGUAAUUUGACUGUGCGAAGGUAGCAUAAUAAUUUGUCUUUUAAUUGAAGACUGGAAUGAAUGGUUUGACGAAAUGAUUACUGUCUCUAAUGUUUUAUAUUUGAAAUUUACUUUUAAGUUAAAAGGCUUAAAUUUAAUUAAGGGACGAGAAGACCCCAUCAAGUUUUAUAAUAUUUAUUUAUUUAAAGUUCAAUUUAAAUUUAUUUGUAUUAUUUAACUGGGGCGGUUAAAAUAGAUUAUCUUUUUUUGAAAUAAAUUAAAAAUAAUUUUUAAAUUUAUAUUUGAUCCAAUGUUUAUUGAUUAUAUGAAUAAAUUACUGUGGGGAUAACAGCGUUAUUUCUUUUUGGAGUUCUAAUUUGCAAAGAAGUUUGCGACCUCGAUGUUGGAUUAAAUUUUUCUUAUUUGGUGAAGAAGCUAAUAAAGAAGGUCUGUUCGACCUUUAAAAAUUUACA